AUUGAACGCUGGCGGCAGGCUUAACACAUGCAAGUCGAGCGGAGCGAGGGUGCUUGCACCUUAGCUUAGCGGCGGACGGGUGAGUAAUGCUUAGGAAUCUGCCUAUUAGUGGGGGACAACAUUCCGAAAGGAAUGCUAAUACCGCAUACGCCCUACGGGGGAAAGCAGGGGAUCUUCGGACCUUGCGCUAAUAGAUGAGCCUAAGUCGGAUUAGCUAGGUGGUGGGGUAAAGGCCUACCAAGGCGACGAUCUGUAGCGGGUCUGAGAGGAUGAUCCGCCACAGUGGGACUGAGACACGGCCCAGACUCCUACGGGAGGCAGCAGUGGGGAAUAUUGGACAAUGGGGGGAACCCUGAUCCAGCCAUGCCGCGUGUGUGAAGAAGGCCUUAUGGUUGUAAAGCACUUUAAGCGAGGAGGAGGCUCUUUUGGUUAAUACCCAAGAUGAGUGGACGUUACUCGCAGAAUAAGCACCGGCUAACUCUGUGCCAGCCGCCGCAGUAA
rnacentral:rRNA from 1 species